rnacentral:rRNA from 1 species
GACGAACGCUGGCGGCGUGCUUAACACAUGCAAGUCGAACGGAAAGGCCCUGCUUUUGUGGGGUGCUCGAGUGGCGAACGGGUGAGUAACACGUGAGUAACCUGCCCUUGAAUUUGGGAUAACUUCAGGAAACUGGGGCUAAUACCGGAUAGGAGCUCCUGCUGCAUGGUGGGGGUUGGAAAGUUUCGGCGGUUGGGGAUGGACUCGCGGGUUAUCAGCUUGUUGGUGGGGUAGUGGCGUACCAAGGCUUUGACGGGUAGCCGGCCUGAGAGGGUGACCGGCCACAUUGGGACUGAGAUACGGCCCAGACUCCUACGGGAGGCAGCAGUGGGGAAUAUUGCACAAUGGGCGGAAGCCUGAUGCAGCAACGCCGCGUGCGGGAUGACGGCCUUCGGGUUGUAAACCGCUUUCGCCUGUGACGAAGCGUGAGUGACGGUAAUGGGUAAAGAAGCACCGGCUAACUACGUG